GAUGAACGCUGGCGGCGUGCCUAAUACAUGCAAGUCGAGCGAACGGACGAGAAGCUUGCUUUUCUGAUGUUAGCGGCGGACGGGUGAGUAAAAGGUGGAAAACUACCUAUAAGAACGGGGAUAAUUUGGGGAAACGGGAGCAAAAACGGGUAAUAUUUUUAAACGGAAGGGUCAAAAGUGAAAAGAGGGCUUUGCGGCACCUAAUAGUGGAACCGCGCUGCAUUAGGUAGUUGGGAAGGUAACGGCUUACCAAGGCAACGAUGCCUAGCCGACCUGAGAGGGUGAUCGGCCACACUGGAGCUGAGACACGGUCCAGACUCCUACGGGAGGCAGCAGUAGGGAAUCUUCCGCAAUGGGCGAAAGCCUGACGGAGCAACGCCGCGUGAGUGAUGAAGGUCUUCGGAUCGUAAAACUCUGUUAUUAGGGAAGAACAUAUGUGUAAGUAACUGUGCACAUCUUGACGGUACCUAAUCAGAAAGCCACGGCUAACUACGUG
rnacentral:rRNA from 1 species